rnacentral:tmRNA from 1 species
UCCCUUUUCAAGUGCUUUCGCGAUCCCUAUAUUGGGGAUGCCGCUUCGCGCGGCUAUGGCAAUAAACGGCGUUGUAAUAAGCCAUUCGGACCCGGGGGCGGUACCCGGCGCCUCCACCAAGAUCCGGCGAAGCCGGGGCCAGACCUUCAGGGCGCGGCCGGAUGUUGAUGGGGGCGAAACAGGAUCGACGAGGGUGUAAAGAACGACUUUUUGCUCGGCAUGAUACCACCGUUAUCG